GAUUAGAACAGCAAUUAGGGAUAAGGAUAUGAACAUAUUGACAGAUGAAGUAUAAAUUUUUUCAUCCACUGCAACAAAGGAGGUAAUGUUUUAUAGUGAUGCUACCAGUGGUGAAUCCGUACAGGUCUGCAGCAACCUCAAUUCUUGCCUCCUCAGAAGAAAGAAUUCAACUGAGGGAAAGGCAGAAGAAGAGACAGAGGUAAGUUUUAAAGCAGGAAUGAAAUUUAUUAGAAAGUUUUAGAGCAAAAAAGAAAGGAAGGAAAGUACACUUGGAAGAGGUCCAAGCAGGCGAUUUGAAGGACGAGUGUGGGAUUGAACUUUUGACUUGGG
rnacentral:lncRNA from 1 species